GGAGUUAGCCGGUGCUUCUUCUGCGAGUAACGUCACAGAUGUAAGGUAUUAACUUACACCCUUCCUCCUCGCUGAAAGUGCUUUACAACCCGAAGGCCUUCUUCACACACGCGGCAUGGCUGCAUCAGGGUUUCCCCCAUUGUGCAAUAUUCCCCACUGCUGCCUCCCGUAGGAGUCUGGGCCGUGUCUCAGUCCCAGUGUGGCUGAUCAUCCUCUCAGACCAGCUAGGGAUCGUCGCCUAGGUGAGCCUUUACCUCACCUACUAGCUAAUCCCACCUGGGCUUAUCCAUCAGCGCAAGGCCCGAAGGUCCCCUGCUUUCCCCCGUAGGGCGUAUGCGGUAUUAGCAGUCGUUUCCAACUGUUAUCCCCCACAAAUGGGCAAAUUCCCAGGCAUUACUCACCCGUCCGCCGCUCGUCAUCUUCAAAAGCAAGCUUUUGAAAUGUUACCGCUCGACUUGCAUGUGUUAGGCCUGCCGCCAGCGUUCAAUCUGAGCCAGAAUCGAACCCUGA
rnacentral:rRNA from 1 species